ACAGAGGUCCCAAGCGUUGUUCGGAUUCACUGGGCGUAAAGGGUGCGUAGGUGGUUGGGUAAGUCUGAGGUGAAAUCUCCGAGCUCAACUCGGAAACUGCCUUGGAUACUAUCCAGCUUGAGGGUUGGAGGGGGGACUGGAAUUCUCGGUGUAGCAGUGAAAUGCGUAGAUAUCAAGAGGAACACUCGUGGCGAAGGCGAGCUACUGGACAACAUCUGACGCUGAGGCUCGAAGGCUAGGGGAGCAAAAGGGA
rnacentral:rRNA from 1 species